UCAGGCGUUCCGCCGCGGCCGCGAGGCCCGCCGGCCGGCUAGGAGCUACGCCCGGACGGCCAGCAGGCUCGCGGGAGUGGGGCGGCCGCGGCUGAGGCGAGGCGGGCCGCGCGCGUCGGCGUCAGAGCCCGCGGCAGAGGCGCCCAGGGCGGCCGGGCCCACGACGCCGAAAGCGCCGCUGCGGUUGCCGCCUCGGAGGCUCCCCCGGGCCCCGGCGGCUGGACCCGGCGCGGGCGGGAGCCUCGGGCGGGCGGUCUGGCCCGGGACUCGGGUUUGGGCGACCAGGAGGCGCCGGUGGCCGCGCUCGGACCCGGUUCUCCAACGGAGGAGCUUUUUAACCUCUUUCCGGUGAGGUGGGAACUCAUCUUCAUGAUCGAAUUUAAAAGAACAAUGGAACCCUGACUACGUUUCAACAAAAAUAAAACUUGUUUUUUUCCCUCCUAUUGGGUGUUGGCUUUUAACUCUUUCAAAGCCGAUUCUGAAACGGCUGCAGUGAUAACAUGCGAAGGUGACUUAAGAGGUUAAAAUUAAUUUGGUUGCUGAUGGUUCUGAACAAAUAGAGUUCUUUUAUUUGAGG
rnacentral:lncRNA from 1 species